rnacentral:tRNA from 1 species
GCGCCCGUAGCUCAACGGAUAGAGCAUCUGACUUCGGAUCAGAGGGUUGGGGGUUCGAGUCCCUUCGGGCGCA